AGAGUUUGAUCCUGGCUCAGGACGAACGCUGGCGGCGUGCUUAACACAUGCAAGUCGAACGGAAAGGCCCUUCGGGGUACUCGAGUGGCGAACGGGUGAGUAACACGUGGGUGAUCUGCCCUGCACUUUGGGAUAAGCCUGGGAAACUGGGUCUAAUACCGAAUAUGACCAUGCACUUCCUGGUGUGUGGUGGAAAGCUUUUGCGGUGUGGGAUGGGCCCGCGGCCUAUCAGCUUGUUGGUGGGGUAAUGGCCUACCAAGGCGACGACGGGUAGCCGGCCUGAGAGGGUGACCGGCCACACUGGGACUGAGAUACGGCCCAGACUCCUACGGGAGGCAGCAGUGGGGAAUAUUGCACAAUGGGCGCAAGCCUGAUGCAGCGACGCCGCGUGAGGGAUGACGGCCUUCGGGUUGUAAACCUCUUUCAGCACAGACGAAGCGCAAGUGACGGUAUGUGCAGAAGAAGGACCGGCCAACUACGUGCCAGCAGCCGCGGUAAUACGUAGGGUCCGAGCGUUGUCCGGAAUUACUGGGCGUAAAGAGCUCGUAGGUGGUUUGUCGCGUUGUUCGUGAAAACUCACAGCUUAACUGUGGGCGUGCGGGCGAUACGGGCAGACUUGAGUACUGCAGGGGAGACUGGAAUUCCUGGUGUAGCGGUGGAAUGCGCAGAUAUCAGGAGGAACACCGGUGGCGAAGGCGGGUCUCUGGGCAGUGACUGACGCUGAGGAGCGAAAGCGUGGGGAGCGAACAGGAUUAGAUACCCUGGUAGUCC
rnacentral:rRNA from 1 species